AGAGUUUGAUCCUGGCUCAGAACGAACGCUGGCGGCGCGUCUUAAGCAUGCAAGUCGGGCGGGAUCCAUGCGCUUGCGCAUGGUGAGAGCGGCGGACUGGCGAGUAACACGUGGGCGACGCGCCCUCCGGACGGGAAUAGCCUGUAGAAAUACAGGGUAAUGCCGGAUGCGAACGCGCGCGCUGGAGGCGCGCGUGGAAAGCCCCCACGGGGGCGCCGGAGGAGCGGCCCGCGGCCCAUCAGCUUGUAGGCGGUGCAAGGGACCACCUAGGCUACGACGGGUACUCGGCCUCAGAGGGCGGACGGGCGCAUUGGGACUGAGAUACGGCCCAGACUCCUACGGGAGGCAGCAGCUAAGAAUAUUCCGCAAUGGGGGGAACCCUGACGGAGCGACGCCGCGUGGGCGAGGAAGGCCGGAAGGUUGUAAAGCCCUUUUGCGCGCGAGGAAUAAGGGGAGGAGGGAAUGCCUUCCCGGUGACUGUAGCGCGCGAAUAAGCGCCGGCUAAUUACGUGCCAGCAGCCGCGGUAACACGUAAGGCGCGAGCGUUGUUCGGAAUCAUUGGGCGUAAAGGGCGUGUAGGCGGCCCUGCAAGCCUGGCGUGAAAUCCCGGGGCUCAACCCCGGAACCGCGCUGGGAACUGCUGGGCUGGAGCCGCUGUGGCGCAGCCGGAAUUCCAGGUGUAGGGGUGAAAUCUGUAGAUAUCUGGAAGAACACCGAUGGCGAAGGCAGGCUGCGAGCGGACGGCUGACGCUGAGGCGCGAAGGCGCGGGGAGCGAACAGGAUUAGAUACCCUGGUAGUCCGCGCAGUAAACGGUGCACACUGGGUGUCCGGGCAUGAGCCCGGGUGCCGAAGCGAACGCGUUAAGUGUGCCGCCUGGGGAGUAUGCCCGCAAGGGUGAAACUCAAAGGAAUUGACGGGGGCCCGCACAAGCAGUGGAUUAUGUGGUUUAAUUCGACGCAACGCGAAGAACCUUACCAGGGCUUGACAUCCAACUAACGAAGUAGAGAUACAUCAGGUGCCCUUCGGGGAAGGUUGAGACAGGUGGUGCAUGGUUGUCGUCAGCUCGUGUCGUGAGAUGUUGGGUUAAGUCCCGCAACGAGCGCAACCCCUAUUGUUAGUUGCUACGAAAGAGCACUCUAGCGAGACUGCCGUUGACAAAACGGAGGAAGGCGGGGACGACGUCAAAUCAUCAUGCCCCUUAUGUCCUGGGCUACACGCGUAAUACAAUGGUGGCGAACAGAGGGAAGCAAAGCCGCGAGGCAGAGCAAAACCCUAAAAGCCAUCUCAGUUCGGAUUGCAGGCUGCAACUCGCCUGCAUGAAGCUGGAAUUGCUAGUAAUCGCGGAUCAGAAAGCCGCGGUGAAUACGUUCCCGGGCCUUGCACACACCGCCCGUCA
rnacentral:rRNA from 1 species